rnacentral:rRNA from 1 species
AUUGAACGCUGGCGGCAGGCCUAACACAUGCAAGUCGAACGAGUGGCGGACGGGUGAGUAAUGUCUGGGAAACUGCCUGAUGGAGGGGGAUAACGACUGGAAACGGUAGCUAAUACCGCAUACCAUCAUACGUGCCCAGAUGGGAUGAGCUAGUUGGUGGGGUAACGGCUCACCAAGGCGACGAUCCCUAGCUGGUCUGAGAGGAUGACCAGUCACACUGGAACGGAGACACGGUCCAGACUCCUACGUGAGGCAGCAGUGGGGAAUAUUGCACAAUGGGCGCAAGCCUGAUGCAGCCAUGCCGCGUGUAUGAGGAAAGCCUUCGGGUUGUAAAGUACUUUCAGCGGGGAGGCGUUACCCGCAGAAGAAGCACCGGCUAACUCCGUGCCAGCGGCCGCGGUAAUUC